rnacentral:rRNA from 2 species
GGGUUGUGAGGUUAAGCGACUAAGCGUACACGGUGGAUGCCCUGGCAGUCAGAGGCGAUGAAGGACGUGCUAAUCUGCGAAAAGCGCCGGCGAGGUGAUAUGAACCCUUGACCCGGCGAUGUCCGAAUGGGGAAACCCAGUGCAAUCCGUUGCACUAUCGUUAACUGAAUACAUAGGUUAACGAGGCGAACCGGGGGAACUGAAACAUCUAAGUACCCCGAGGAAAAGAAAUCAACCGAGAUUCCCCCAGUAGCGGCGAGCGAACGGGGAGCAGCCCGGAGUCUGAAUCAGCUUGUGUGUUAGUGGAACGGUCUGGAAAGUCCGACGGUACAGGGUGAUAGUCCCGUACACGAAAGCACACUUGCUGUGAACUCGAAGAGUAGGGCGGGACACGUGGUAUCCUGUCUGAAUAUGGGGGGACCAUCCUCCAAGGCUAAAUACUCCUGACUGACCGAUAGUGAACCAGUACCGUGAGGGAAAGGCGAAAAGAACCCCGGCGAGGGGAGUGAAAAAGAACCUGAAACCGUGUACGUACAAGCAGUGGGAGCCUCUUUUAUGGGGUGACUGCGUACCUUUUGUAUAAUGGGUCAGCGACUUAUAUUCUGUAGCAAGGUUAACCGUAUAGGGGAGCCGAAGGGAAACCGAGUCUUAACUGGGCGUUAAGUUGCAGGGUAUAGACCCGAAACCCGGUGAUCUAGCCAUGGGCAGGUUGAAGGUUGGGUAACACUAACUGGAGGACCGAACCGACUAAUGUUGAAAAAUUAGCGGAUGACCUGUGGCUGGGGGUGAAAGGCCAAUCAAACCGGGAGAUAGCUGGUUCUCCCCGAAAGCUAUUUAGGUAGCGCCUCGUGAAUUCAUCUUCGGGGGUAGAGCACUGUUUCGGCUAGGGGGCCAUCCCGGCUUACCAACCCGAUGCAAACUACGAAUACCGAAGAAUGUUAUCACGGGAGACACACGGCGGGUGCUAACGUCCGUCGUGAAGAGGGAAACAACCCAGACCGCCAGCUAAGGUCCCAAAGUCAUGGUUAAGUGGGAAACGAUGUGGGAAGGCACAGACAGCCAGGAUGUUGGCUUAGAAGCAGCCAUCAUUUAAAGAAAGCGUAAUAGCUCACUGGUCGAGUCGGCCUGCGCGGAAGAUGUAACGGGGCUAAACCAUGCACCGAAGCUGCGGCAGCGACACUUAUGUGUUGUUGGGUAGGGGAGCGUUCUGUAAGCCGUUGAAGGUGUGCUGUGAGGCAUGCUGGAGGUAUCAGAAGUGCGAAUGCUGACAUAAGUAACGAUAAAGCGGGUGAAAAGCCCGCUCGCCGGAAGACCAAGGGUUCCUGUCCAACGUUAAUCGGGGCAGGGUGAGUCGACCCCUAAGGCGAGGCCGAAAGGCGUAGUCGAUGGGAAACAGGUUAAUAUUCCUGUACUUGGUGUUACUGCGAAGGGGGGACGGAGAAGGCUAUGUCAGCCGGGCGACGGUUGUCCCGGUUUAAGCAUGUAGGCGGAGGUUCCAGGUAAAUCCGGUACCUUUUUAACGCUGAGGUGUGAUGACGAGGCACUACGGUGCUGAAGUGAUAAAUGCCCUGCUUCCAGGAAAAGCCUCUAAGCAUCAGGUAACACGAAAUCGUACCCCAAACCGACACAGGUGGUCAGGUAGAGAAUACCAAGGCGCUUGAGAGAACUCGGGUGAAGGAACUAGGCAAAAUGGUGCCGUAACUUCGGGAGAAGGCACGCUGAUGUGUAGGUGAAGCCCCUGCGGGCGGAGCUGAAAUCAGUCGAAGAUACCAGCUGGCUGCAACUGUUUAUUAAAAACACAGCACUGUGCAAACACGAAAGUGGACGUAUACGGUGUGACGCCUGCCCGGUGCCGGAAGGUUAAUUGAUGGGGUUAGCGGCAACGCGAAGCUCUUGAUCGAAGCCCCGGUAAACGGCGGCCGUAACUAUAACGGUCCUAAGGUAGCGAAAUUCCUUGUCGGGUAAGUUCCGACCUGCACGAAUGGCGUAAUGAUGGCCAGGCUGUCUCCACCCGAGACUCAGUGAAAUUGAACUCGCUGUGAAGAUGCAGUGUACCCGCGGCAAGACGGAAAGACCCCGUGAACCUUUACUAUAGCUUGACACUGAACACUGGUCCUUGAUGUGUAGGAUAGGUGGGAGGCUUUGAAGCGUGGACGCCAGUCUGCGUGGAGCCAACCUUGAAAUACCACCCUUUAAUGGCUGGUGUUCUAACGUAGACCCGUAAUCCGGGUUGCGGACAGUGUCUGGUGGGUAGUUUGACUGGGGCGGUCUCCUCCCAAAGAGUAACGGAGGAGCACGAAGGUUGGCUAAUCCUGGUCGGACAUCAGGAGGUUAGUGCAAUGGCAUAAGCCAGCUUGACUGCGAGCGUGACGGCGCGAGCAGGUGCGAAAGCAGGUCAUAGUGAUCCGGUGGUUCUGAAUGGAAGGGCCAUCGCUCAACGGAUAAAAGGUACUCCGGGGAUAACAGGCUGAUACCGCCCAAGAGUUCAUAUCGACGGCGGUGUUUGGCACCUCGAUGUCGGCUCAUCACAUCCUGGGGCUGAAGUAGGUCCCAAGGGUAUGGCUGUUCGCCAUUUAAAGUGGUACGCGAGCUGGGUUUAGAACGUCGUGAGACAGUUCGGUCCCUAUCUGCCGUGGGCGCUGGAGAAUUGAGGGGGGCUGCUCCUAGUACGAGAGGACCGGAGUGGACGCAUCACUGGUGUUCGGGUUGUCAUGCCAAUGGCAUUGCCCGGUAGCUAAAUGCGGAAGAGAUAAGUGCUGAAAGCAUCUAAGCACGAAACUUGCCCCGAGAUGAGUUCUCCCUGAGACUUUAAGUCUCCUGAAGGAACGUUGAAGACGACGACGUUGAUAGGUCGGGUGUGUAAGCGCAGCGAUGCGUUGAGCUAACCGAUACUAAUGAACCGUGAGGCUUAACCUUACAACGCCGAAGGUGUUU